AGUGAACGCUGGCGGUAGGCCUAACACAUGCAAGUCGAACGGCAGCACAGUAAGAGCUUGCUCUUACGGGUGGCGAGUGGUGGACGGGUGAGGAAUACAUCGGAAUCUACUUUUUCGUGGGGGAUAACAUAGGGAAACUUACGCUAAUACCGCAUACGACCUACGGGUGAAAGCAGGGGAUCUUCGGACCUUGCGCGAUUGAAUGAGCCGAUGUCGGAUUAGCUAGUUGGCGGGGUAAAGGCCCACCAAGGCGACGAUCCGUAGCUGGUCUGAGAGGAUGAUCAGCCACACUGGAACUGAGACACGGUCCAGACUCCUACGGGAGGCAGCAGUGGGGAAUAUUGGACAAUGGGCGCAAGCCUGAUCCAGCCAUACCGCGUGGGUGAAGAAGGCCUUCGGGUUGUAAAGCCCUUUUGUUGGGAAAGAAAAGCAGCAGGUUAAUACCCCGCUGUUCUGACGGUACCCAAAGAAUAAGCACCGGCUAACUUCGUG
rnacentral:rRNA from 1 species